UUUCUUCCGGUAAAAUUUCUAAAGUAUCAUAAAAAGUGUCAACAAGUCCCUGCACACCUUGUAAUUUAUAGUCAGGAUGAAGUAAAGUAGCAAUUAAAAAAAAUUGAGGAGUAGGAAAAAAAUAUUUUUAGAAUUUUUCAAUCAUACAUUCAAUUGCAACUCUAAAUUUGUCAA